rnacentral:lncRNA from 1 species
AUGGAAUAUAGCUUCCUCAGCUGCCAGAGCUCAUCCCUGUUAGACAAAAGCUCUGACUUGUCCAUAUUGCUAAAUAAGUCAGUGGGACAUAAGAAUACCCAGAACUUUGGAAAUUAUGGCAUUCAUACAGGGAGACCUCAGCAAAUCUCUAGGCUGUGCAUGCAGAAUUGCUGAGGGUGAUUCUCUAAGGAAGUUUACAGGUCAUUA